GAACGGCUAGCGACAGGCCUAACACAUGCAAGUCGAGGGGCAGCACAAGGAGCAAUCUGAGGUGGCGACCGGCGCACGGGUGAGUAACACGUAUGCAACCUGCCUGUAAGCGGGGAAUAACCCGUUGAAAGACGGACUAAUACCGCAUAAUACUAAAUUACUGCAUGGUAAUUUAUUUAAACAUUUAUGGCUUACAGAUGGGCAUGCGCAUGAUUAGCUAGUUGGAGAGGUAACGGCUCCCCAAGGCAACGAUCAUUAGGGGUUCUGAGAGGAAGGUCCCCCACACUGGUACUGAGACACGGACCAGACUCCUACGGGAGGCAGCAGUGAGGAAUAUUGGUCAAUGGACGAGAGUCUGAACCAGCCAAGUCGCGUGCAGGAAGAAUGUCCUUAAUGGAUUGUAAACUGCUUUUGCAGGGGAAUAAAGUGCAUCACGUGUGAUGUUUUGUAUGUACUCUGCGAAUAAGGAUCGGCUAACUCCGUGCCAGCCGCAGC
rnacentral:rRNA from 1 species